CAACGUCUUGCAAACAAUGUUUUCACAGCAAUGCCAAGGAAAUAGGCUUCAUCAAGUAUCACUAAGCAGUCAAGCCAAGUUUUGCACUAGAGGAAGAUUUUUCUUAAUGGGAUGCUUUUAAUGUAACACCCCGACCUCUUGUGGAUCGGAACGCUACUUACUUUACUUAACUAACCAGUGGUUUAGUCAUAAGAGAAUAUGUUUUAGCGGAAGCUUAAUUUUUACAAUGAUAAUUUUAACAACAACCUUUCGAAUACUUUAAAUAAAACACUGAAUAAAAAAAAACGGAACAUAAUUUAUUUAAAGAAAACACAACUUGUUCUUGCGUUCAGCAUUAUUCAAAUACUUUAAAGAAAUAACAUUAAAAACGUUCACAAAAAUAAAUCUAAAUAACUUGUUCACCGGGUUUUCCACGGGCUCGUUGCACCACUCUCCAUCUUUUCCAUCAUCCAAACCCAAGGUAGAAUCAUAUCAAUCUGUAGAGAAGGGGUUAAACACGUGAGUUAAAAAUACUCAAUAGAUAUCAUUGGUGCAUUCGUGAUCAAGCUAUACAUUUCAAAGCUGUAACUUUAGAAACCUUUUCAUAGUAGGAUUUUCGGUAGAAUCCCAAACACGUAGAAUCAUGACUUAAAACGACGCCUCAAUCGGAAGUACAUGCCGUACCCGGAGGUACCAUUAGACAUGGAGGUGUAUGCCGUACCGGAGGUACCAUUUUUCAAAUAGAAUGUUUUCUAUGUUGUAAAUGGGUCUCAAAUGAGACUAAAAAAUCUGAAGUAUAUUUUAGCCAUCCAAUAUUCAUAUCUUAGUGCCACUAAGGUGUUUAAAAUUAUUUGAGGUUCUACAUCCCCACACCUUAAUUAAAAUUUCGUCCUCGAAAUUUACCUUAUGAUUAGGCAAAUAGUGUUGGAUACUUGUUUUUGGCUUCCUCUUCCCCUUCCCAAGUGGCCUCUUCUAUUUCAUGAUUAUUUCAUUGAAUUUUGACCAAUUGAAUUUCUUUGUUCCUUAGUUUAUGUGCCUUUCGAUCCAAUAUCCUAAUUGGUACCUCUUCAUAGGAUAAGUCCUUUUGUACUUCCACGGACUUAUAGUUCACUGCAUGAUUAGAAUCAUGCACGUAUUUCUUGAUCAUUGAUACAAUUAACACGUUGUGCACUGUCGAUAACCCAGGUGGGAGAGCUAACCAAUAGGCUACAUUUUCGACCCUAUCAAGUAUCUCGAAUGGUCCGAUAUAGCGGGGUCGUAGGUUUCCUUUCUUGCCAAACCUAAGUACACAUUUCAUCGGUAUCACUUUCAGAAACACUUUUUCUCCAACUUUAAAUUCUAAAUCCUUCAUCCUUGUAUUUGCAUAGCUCUUCUGUCGAUCCUGUGCUGCCUUUAUCCUUACACGGAUCUUAUCGAUUGCCUCACCUGUCCUUUCAAUUAUUUCUGGUCCCUAAACUCUCUUUUCCCCAACUUCAUCCCAAUGAACAGAGGACCUACAUCUUCUACCGUAGAGAGCUUCGUAUGAUGCCAUCCCGAUAGUUGCUUGAAAGAUAUUAUAUGCGAAAAUGGUUCAUCUCCUGAUUUCUGAAAUGAUACCUCCCUUUCCUUACAUCGGAUGGUGGCGUAAUUACAACCUAACUAAUCCAUGCCUAGUAUUACAUCAAAAUCCUUCAUUUCUAUCAUGUAUAGGUUCGCUUCCAUUGGUUUUCCCUCAACUUCAAUACUUACUGAUUUGGCUAUUCUAUCAGUACUCAAAGGGUUGCCUGAAGGAAUGCUAAUCUCUAAUGUACCUUCCGACUUAUCACAGGUAAUACUAGAUUUAACCAUAAAAGUUGUCGACACAAAGGAGUGUGUGGCUCCUGAAUCAAACAAUACAUAAGCAGGCAUAUUGACUAUCAAUAAAGUACCUGCUAUGACGUUCGAGUUUUCCUCUGCAUCUUUUUGAGUCAUUGCAAAAACUCGUGCUUUCCCUUUCUGGUUCCGGUCAUUGUUAUCAUCCUCCUUCGGGGUAAAUGUGGGCAAUCCUUAAAAAUAUGCCCUGACUUGUCAAAUCUGAAACAGACAUUCUUCCCUUGCAAACACACGCCACGAUGCGUCUUUCCACACUUAGGACAUGGCUCUAUAACUGGCACAAUGCUCUUGUUGGCAUUGGUUCCGCCAUUAGCUUUCUUGUUCUACCACUUGCCCUUUCCCUUGUCCUGGCCAUUCCAUUUCCUUUUACCCAUACUGCCAUUGUCCAAUUGAUUGAACAGUUGACUAUAUUGCUCGGUGCUAGUCUUCUGGUACCAGAUAGCAUGAGCUCUUUCCAGCAUUUCACGAUAUGAGGUGAAACGAUGGGACAUAAGUAUCAUGCUUAUAUCUAGGUUCAACCCUUGUUCAAACCUCCUGACUUUCUUGUCCUCCGUAUCCAUCAGAUGUGGAGCAUACCUUGAAAGUUGGUUAAACUUCCUUUCAUACUCAGUCAGGGACAUAGUCCUUUGCUUGAGUUGGAGAAAUUCACUUUCUUUGUGACCCCUCAAAGACUGUGGGAAAUACUUGUCCAUUACUUCCUCUUUAAAUCGCUCCCAAGUCAAUUCCGCUUGCUGCUCUGGGAUCCUUGUCCUUGACAUCGAGUCCCACCAGUGGCUUGCAUCACCGGAGAACAUAAACUCAGCACAUUGGACCUUCUGGGCGUCCGUGCAACCUGUUAAUCGAAAUAUUCUCUUCAACUUGCGAAGCCACUCCUCGGCUACAAGUGGAUCAGCUGCUCCAUUGAAGGUAGGGGGCUUGUGUCUUCUAAAUUGCUCGACCACUAAAGCAUGGGUUGGAGGAACAUUAGGAGCCAGUGGUAGGGGUUGCGCCUGGUUCGGGUUUUGCCUGUCAAGAUCUUGGACCGCUUGAAGGAGAUCUCUUAUCAAGUUGGUUUUGGUUUGUGCGGGCCAUUUUCCUUUAGACAAAACGUAUGGUUGUUAUUAGUUUUAUACUUUGAAUUCUAAAUCUUUCCUCCUUGUAUCCGCAUAGCUCUUCUGUCGAUCCUGUGCUGGCUUUAUCCUUGCACAGAUCUUAUCGAUUGCCUCAACUAUCAUUUCAAUUAUUUCUGGUCCCAAAACUCUCUUCUCCUUGAAUUCAUCCCAAUGAACAGGGGACCUACAUCUUCUACCAUAGAGAGCUAAAAACGGUGCCAUCGUGAUAGUUGCUUGGAAGCUGUUGUUAUAUGCGAAUUCUACUAGGGCUAUGUAUGACUCCCAACUACCUCCUAGAUCCAAAACACAUGCUCUCAGCAUGUCUUCCAGAGUUUGGAUGGUCUUUUCAGAUUAACCAUCGGACUGAUGGUGAUAUGCUGUACUAAAGUUUAGCUUCGUUCCCAUAGCUCCUUGUAGAUUUUUCCAAAAUUUGGGCGUGAACCUUGGGUCUCUGUCAGACACAAUGGACACAGGUACGCCGUGCAAUCUCACAACCUCCGUAAUGUAUAACUGUGUCAAUUGGUCUAAACUGAAUGUCAUUUUCACUGGAAGAAAAUUAGCUGACUUUUUUAAUCGAUCCACUAUUACCCAUACAGCGUUGUUUCCUCUUGCUGACUUCAGGAAUCCAACCACAAAGUCCAUUGUUCCAUUUGGGUAUGUCCAGUGGAUUUAACAAUCCAGCCGAUUUUUGGUGUUCUGCCUUAACCUGUUGACAUACCAUACACUUUUUCACGUACAAUCCUAUACUUCUUUUCAUAUUUCUCCACCAAAAUGUAUCUCGAAGGUCUCGAUACAUUUUCGUACCACUGGGAUGUGCGGUGUACGGGAUGGAAUGGGCCUAAUAUCUCGUUUCUCAACGCUUCAUCCUUAGGAACGCAAAUUCUCCCCUUAAACAUUAGUGCCUGAUUCGAAGCUAUUCCAAAAGCCUUUCUCUUAUCAGUGCCAAUUUCAUUCUUGAUCUUCAACAAGAAUGGGUCAUUACCUUGUGUCUCUAUAAUUCGAUCUCUAAGAAUAGGUCAAAUUAUCAAAGCUGCUAGACAAGCAAUGACUUGUCCUGGUAUGGUAACCACUUCGAUCUGCAACUUUUCCAAAUCCUUGACUAACUCCAUUUGAAAAGUGGGUAGUGAUGCCAACGGUCCCAUUGAUUUUCUACUUAAGGUGUGGGCCACAACAUUAGCCUUACCUGGAUGGUAACGAAUAGUGCAAUCGUAAUCAUUCACCAAUUCCAAUCAUCGUCUUUGUCGCAUAUUCAAUUCCUUCUGUGUGAAUAAAUAUUUGAGACUCUUGUGAUCUGUGUAGAUAUCGCACUUCCCUCCAUACAAGCAGUGUCGUCAUAUCUUCAAGGCGUGUACUACCCCAUAAGUUCUAAAUCAUGCGUCGGGUAAUUCUGUUCAUGUUUCUUCAAUUGUUUUGAUGCAUAGGCUAUCACUUUUCCAUUCUUCAUCAGCACACAUCCCAAUCCUUGCUUGGAUGCAUCACUGUAUAUAACAAACCCUUCCGUACUCUCAGGUAUUGUUAACACGGGUGCUGAUAUCAACCUCUGUUUAAGUUCUUGGAAACUUUGUUCACAUUUAUCCGUCCAUUGAAAUUUUACUUCCUUCCUUGUAAGCUGUGUCAUUAGUCUAGUUAUUUUGGAGAAUCCUUCUAUGAAUCUCCAAUAAUAUCCUGCUAAUCCUAGAAAGCUCUGUACCUCGCCAGCAUUAGUUGGUGCUUUCCAGUUGGUUACUACUUCCACUUUCGCUGGAUCUACCUCAAUCCCUUGGGCAGUGACUAUAUGUCCAAGAAAUCCAACUCGUUCAAGCCAGAACUCACACUUCUUGAAUUUGACAUAGAGCUUUUCCUUACAUAAUACCUCUAAUGCUAUUCUUAGGUGCUCUUCAUGUUGCUCCCUACUCAUGAAAUAUAUUAGAAUGUCAUCAAUGAAGACUAUGACAAAUUUAUCCAAGUACUGAUGAAAUACACGAUUCAUCAGGUCCAUGAACACUGCAGGUGCAUUGGAUAGCCCAAACGGCAUCACUGUAAACUCUUAGUGUCCAUAACGAGUUCUAAAAGCUGUCUUGGGUAUAUCCUUGGACUUUACUUUCAAUUGAUGGUAUCCCGAUCGUAAGUCGAUCUUGGAAAAUACCUUAACUCCUUUCAGUUGAUCUAACAGAUCCUCGAUUCUCGAGAAUGGGUACUUUUCUUGAUAGUUAAUCGAUUUAACUCCCUAUAAUCGAUGUACAUCCUCAUACUUUCAUCUUUUUUCUUCACGAACAACACCGGCGCACCCCAUGGAGAUACACUUGGCCGUAUAAAGCUCAUAUCUAGGAGUUCUUGCAACUGCUUCUUUAACUCUUGUAGUUCCUUCGGGGCCAUUCGGUUUGGGGCUUUUGACACUAGUGCCGCUCCGAGAAUUAGGUCUAUGAUGAAUUCCACUUGCCUAUCUGGUGGAAUACUAGAUAGAUCUUCUGGAAACACAUCUACGAAUUCCCUUACUAUUGGUACGUCUUCAACCUUUAUCGUCUCCUAUUUCCCUCCUGAGAUGUUUACUAAAUAUCCGUGACAUGUUUCUUUUCUCAACAUCUUCUCAGCUUGUAAAAUCGAUACUAGUCGAAUAAGGGGUUUCGUCUUCAUCCCAAGGAACGAAAAUGGUUCCUCUCCUGAUUUCUGAAAUGAUACCUCCCUUUCCUUACAUCGGAUGGUGGCGUAAUUACAACCCAACCAAUCUAUGCCUAGUAUUACAUCAAAAUCCUUCAUUUCUAUCAUGUAUAGGUUCGCUUCCAUUGGUUUUCCCUCAACUUCAAUACUUACUGAUUUGGCUAUUCUAUCAGUACUCAAAGGGUUGCCUGAAGGAAUGCUGACCUCUAAUGUACCUUCCGACUUAUCACAGGUAAUAUUAGAUUUAGCCAUAAAAGUUGUCGAUACAAAGGAGUGUGUGGCUCCUGAAUCAAAUAAUACAUAAGCAGGCGUAUUAGCUAUCAAUAAAGUACCUGCUAUGAUGUUCGAGUUUUCCUCUGCACCUUUCUGAGUCAUUGGAAAAACUCGUGCUUUCCCUUUUUGGUUGCUUGCAUCACCGGAGAACAUAAACUCAGCACACUAGACCUUUUGGGCAUCCGUGCACCCUAUUAAUCGGAAUAUUCUCUUCAACUUGCAAAGCCACUCCUCGGCUGCAAGUGGAUCAGCUGCUCCAUUGAAAGUAGAGGGCUUGUGUCUUCUAAAUUACUUGACUACUGAAGCAUGGGUUGGAAGAACAUUAUGAGCUAGUGGUAGGGGUUGCGCCUGGUUCGGGUUUUGCCUGCCAAGGUCUUGGACCGCUUGGAGGAGAUCUCUUAUCAAGUUGGUUUGGUUUGUGUGGCCAUUUUCCUUUAGACAAAACGUAUGGUUCUUAUUAGUUUCAUACUUCGAAUUCUAACAAAGAAAAUAAAGUUUUAUUUCUUGACAUAAAUGAAGUUGUUACAAGGAUUUAAAUCUAAUCCCUAUAAGUUCUACGAAUCUUCUUUGGUGGAGCUUCAUCUCCAGAGGAGUCUUCUGUCUCAGGUCCGGAUUCUAUGUCCAUCUCAACCUGUGGCUCGAGCUCAGGAUCAUUCCCUCUGCAGGCUCUUCUUCUUCAUCAAGUUCAAUUACUAUCUCCGGUUGAUGUUCUAAGUUUUCCCUUCAUAGCUCUAGGAGUUAUUGGCAAUACACUUCAAACUCAAAUAUAUUUGGGUGCUCUUCUAGCAUUACAUCCCUAACCGUGACUCUUAUAUCUCCCCAUUGAGGUGAAAGGGAGUGUAUGAGGUUAUUUAUAACCUCAAUAUGCGUUAUCUCCAUUCCAGCGUUCACCGCUGUCAUGCAUCUCUCAUAGACAUCAUGUAUAUGUUCGUUAAGUGGACGGAGCAGAUCAGUCACGUAAUUCUCAUAGGACUGAAUGUCGAUUCUACGGUUCAAUGCUCAUCUAUAUGCCAUCGCCGUUCUACGAGCCAUAUCUGUUGUAUUUUCACAUAUCAUACACUUUUUUUUUACUCUUGGAAAAAUGGCUACUGUUACAUAACAUUCUACCUAUAAAUUCUAGCCCAAUGCGUAUCUUUUGAAAAAAAACGCAUCUUUUAAAUUAUUUCUAACUGACAUAGUAUAUCUUUAAAAAUAAGCAUAAGUUGUAUCAUAGCAUCGCAAAGCAUCAUAACAUAGUCUUUUCAUGAAAACAUUAAGUUUGAACAUACAUGGGCCGUAGGAUGAGAUUGAUGGAUGGAUGCAAGAUGUCAUGGAGUAUCUUAGACUUUUUCAUUUUUAAAAAAAAAACAUACUUGGUCUACAGAACCGGCUAAACCCUUUUUAAAAAAAAAUACUUGGUCUACAAAACAGAUUAAACCGUGCUCUGAUACCACGCUGUAACGCCCAGACCCCUUGUGGACCGAAGCGCUACUUACUUAACUAAACGGUGGUUUAAUCUUAGGAGAAUAUGUUUUAGGGGAAGCUUAAUUUUUACAAUGAUAAUUUUAACAACCUUUCGAAUACUUUAAAUAGAACACUGAAUAAAAAAAAUGGAACGUAAUUUAUUUGAAGAAAACACAACAACGAUUCAAAUAUUUUAAAGAAACAACAUUGAAAACAUUCACAAAAAUAAAUCUAAAUAACUUGUUCACUGGGUUUUCCACGGGCUCAUUGCACCUCUCCAUCUUUUCCAUCAUCCAGACCCAAGGUAGAAUCAUAUCAAUCUGUAGAGAAAAGGGCUAAAUCCGUGAGUUAAAAAAACUCAAUAGAUAUCAUUGGUGCAUUCAUGAUCAAGCUAUACAUUUCAGAGCUGUAACUUUAGAAACCUUUUCAUAGUAGGAUUUCCGGUAGAAUCCCAAACACGUAAAGUCAUGACUUAACACGACGCCUCGACCGGAAGUACAUGCCGUACCCCGAGGUACCAUUAGACAUACAAACAUUAACAUAAAUCUUCAUUUGUUAGAAACUUAUAACUUAACACGAAUUAACACUUUGCACCUUUACCUACCUUGAUUGAUGCUUUGAACCUUGUUGAAAAUGCACUCUUUUGAUAUUUCAAAAAAACACUCCAUUGAGAAUUAAUACUUGGAAAACACUUCUUGAUAGGACCAAAAUUUCUAGAAAAAACUAAUUUUCCUCCCUCAUCUUUCUCUUUUUUUUUAAGACUUGAAAGCUCUCUCUUUUAUGCUUACAAGCUUUUGUCUUGCUGUGAAAAAUAUGUAUGCAUUAGAACCUAUUUAUAGGUGAAAAUCUCACAACUUAAGGGCAAGUGAAGGGCCUAAUACUCAUUAAAACGGGUGCCAUUUAUGUGGGAGUUAUAGGUUUAAGAAGGUGCUAAAAAAUCAUGUAGGAAUUUGACUUUUCAUAUUCCACAUACUUCGGUUGAUACUAUACAACCUUUAGUAUUUCUAUCAUAACUUCUUCUCCCGAUACCUGAUUGAGGUAAUUCAAAGUGCAUUGGAAAGCUAACUCAAAGAGCUACAACUUUUCUUUAGAUAUCAUUUUUCAAAUCGAAUGUUUUCUAUGUCAUAAAUGUGUCUCAAAUGAGACUAAAAAUUUGAAGUAUACUUUAGCCAUCUAAUAUUCAUGUCUUAGUGUCACUAAAGUGUUUAAAAUUAUUUGGGGUUCUACAUUUAAUUAUUUCAGAUUUACCUUUUUAAAACAUCUCCUGUCUUCGUUCUGAAAAUGGAUGUAUUGAGAAUGAUUAUUCCAAGUUUAUAAUUGAACUUGAAAGUGAUAUUUGAGAAGACAAAUACCCUAUCCAAAAGAAAUAUAUAUAUAUAUUUGAAGAGAUAAAUAAAUAUUUGCUUAUUUCAUAAAAAAAUAUAUAUAUAUAUACACACACACACAUGUGUGUGUAUAUUUACCAACAUAUUCCACCAAAAUUAUAAACACACCAAAUAGAUAUAUUCAACUAAAACUAUUAACGCAAUGCAAGUUAGCAAGAAUAUUGUACCUGUGGUCUGUGGCUGUGUCCAUUUCCUUAACUAAUAUUCCAAUUCCCAAAGAUUAAAUAGCAACAAUAUGUGCUUCAGUAAUUUGUUUCAUCAUGAAUUAAGAAAUCAAAACCAAUAAACAAAAUCAUUCUAUAGAAGUAAUGAAAAGAGGGGGAAAACACAUUGGUUGAUUAUUUUAUUCAACUAAUAUGAAAAUCAGACACUUUAUCUGAUAGAAGCAGCCAAGAGAGUUACCAUAUUCACUGGAGGUCUGUCCAAAUCAAAAUUCUUGCAGUUAAGGUCUGUCCAAAUUACCAAUUGAGAGGUGCAAUGUUCAGUGAGGUCGAGAAGCGAUGGUCACAGCUGAACAACAAAGCCUGACCUUGAAAGAAUUGGUGAUAGAACUCAUGGAAGAUCAACAUUGGCAACUGGCAAGUUAAAAGGAAGAAUGGAUUAUGGAAGAUCGAUGGCGGCGGAGGCCUGAGAUCUAGAGGAAGAGCAAGAAGGAAAUAAAAAUUAGGGCUUGCUGCCUGAGUUGCUGGCUGACGAUGUUUAUAAAUGAUAAAUAUGGG
rnacentral:lncRNA from 1 species